AGAGUUUGAUCCUGGCUCAGGAUGAACGCUGGCGGCGUGCCUAACACAUGCAAGUCGAGCGAAGCGAUGUUAAGGAAGUUUUCGGAUGGAAUUAAGAUUGACUUAGCGGCGGACGGGUGAGUAACGCGUGGGUAACCUGCCUUAUACAGGGGGAUAACAGUUAGAAAUGACUGCUAAUACCGCAUAAGCGCACGGGAACGCAUGUUUCUGUGUGAAAAACUGAGGUAGUAUAAGAUGGACCCGCGUCUGAUUAGCUAGUUGGUGGGGUAACGGCCUACCAAGGCGACGAUCAGUAGCCGGCCUGAGAGGGUGACCGGCCACAUUGGGACUGAGACACGGCCCAAACUCCUACGGGAGGCAGCAGUGGGGAAUAUUGCACAAUGGGGGAAACCCUGAUGCAGCGACGCCGCGUGAGUGAAGAAGUAUUUCGGUAUGUAAAGCUCUAUCAGCAGGGAAGAAGCAAGACGGUACCUGACUAAGAAGCCCCGGCUAACUACGUGCCAGCAGCCGCGGUAAUACGUAGGGGGCAAGCGUUAUCCGGAUUUACUGGGUGUAAAGGGAGCGUAGACGGUAUGGCAAGUCUGAAGUGAAAGCCCAGGGCUUAACCCUGGGACUGCUUUGGAAACUGUUAGACUAGAGUGCUGGAGAGGUAAGUGGAAUUCCUAGUGUAGCGGUGAAAUGCGUAGAUAUUAGGAGGAACACCAGUGGCGAAGGCGGCUUACUGGACAGUAACUGACGUUGAGGCUCGAAAGCGUGGGGAGCAAACAGGAUUAGAUACCCUGGUAGUCCACGCUGUAAACGAUGAAUACUAGGUGUUGGCGGGCAAAGCCCGUCGGUGCCGCCGCAAACGCAAUAAGUAUUCCACCUGGGGAGUACGUUCGCAAGAAUGAAACUCAAAGGAAUUGACGGGGACCCGCACAAGCGGUGGAGCAUGUGGUUUAAUUCGAAGCAACGCGAAGAACCUUACCUGAUCUUGACAUCCCCCUGACCGGACCGUAAUGGGUUCUUUCCUUCGGGACAGGGGAGACAGGUGGUGCAUGGUUGUCGUCAGCUCGUGUCGUGAGAUGUUGGGUUAAGUCCCGCAACGAGCGCAACCCUUAUCUUCAGUAGCCAGCAUUACGGAUGGGCACUCUGGAGAGACUGCCAGGGACAACCUGGAGGAAGGUGGGGAUGACGUCAAAUCAUCAUGCCCCUUAUGACCAGGGCUACACACGUGCUACAAUGGCGUAAACAAAGGGAAGCGACCACGUGAGUGUAAGCAAAUCCCAAAAAUAACGUCUCAGUUCGGAUUGUAGUCUGCAACUCGACUACAUGAAGCUGGAAUCGCUAGUAAUCGCGAAUCAGAAUGUCGCGGUGAAUACGUUCCCGGGUCUUGCACUCACCGCCCGUCA
rnacentral:rRNA from 1 species